rnacentral:sRNA from 1 species
UGUACGAGUGCAAGAGGUAAAUUCCCGC